UAUGGUUUCAUGUGAAGAGGCCCUAUUAAGAAAUUCUAGGGGUAAAGUCAUGGAGCCAUUGCCUUAAAAUUUGCUUAACCUUAUGAUGAUAAUACACAUAGGCAUUCAAUCACUAUUGGUUUUAGGAAAUCAGUUACCCCACUGUUACCGGUCAGUAUCACACAGCUUCAAGCUUCAUCUUUAUCAAUUAGAACAGCUGAGGAAAACCCUCUCUCAAUGUGAUAGAAAAGUGGAGAAUAACUAUUGGAAGUUGAAUGCCACCCCCAAUGUUAAAGAGAUGGAGCAAUUUUGAGAAAGAAAUACAGACUAUCACUCUUCACUGUUUUCCUGGAGUAUAUGCUGGAAUCAGCCUUUUUAAUCUAAUGCCCAUCUUUCAUUCACCCCAUCGCCUCAGAGUGCAUCUUUUUCAGGAAAGCUUUACUCAAAAGUUUGCUUUACUAAGGCGAUAUUCUGCAUCCCAUCACUGUGAAUGUUUUUGUCUGGACACAAAGGAAUCUUUUUUCCAGCAGAGCAUUCUAUUAAUAUUUAAAAUGGAGUUAAUGUCUCAGGGUUAAAAGAAUCAGUUUCUGUCUGUAGUGUUUGCUCUAUGAUCUUACCCUGGAGAGUGUCUGCAGCACUUGUCACACUACAAUGCCAACACUGGGCAUUCAGUCAUUGCUUGUUGGUUAUGAUAAAUAAAACAAGAAAGAUUUCUCUUCAGGGAAACAAGCAUACUUCAUACUUCAUGCAGUACGAAAAGAGAUGAUAUCUAGUCUACUACAAUAACCUCAUCUGUAAACUCUAUUUCCAGGACCCAGAGGUUGAAGCAGAAACUAGGGAAAUAUGAUCACAGCAGGAGAACUUCAGGGUUGUACUGUCUUAUUUACAUGUGCAACUGUAUGUGUGUUUGUCCAAGAUCCUGUAGCCAGUUAACAACUAAAGGUGAACUAUAAUAUGUGCAGGUAUUUAGUCUAUUAAAGCUAUUAGCUAAAAUGGGAUACCUCGGCAUAAAGAGGCAGCAAAGUGCCUUAAAGAAAAAAAGGAUUUUAUGUAUCUUUUGUUGCAUAUCAUUAUUUGGAUUGCACACAGUAAACAUUUAUAAAAGUAAAACUAAAACUCUGAAUUGUAGGGGUACCCGUCAUGGCGCAGUGGAAAUGAAUCCGACUAGGAACCAUGAAGUUUCGGAUUCGAUCCCUGGCCUUGCUCAGUGGAUUAAGGAACUGGCAUUGCCGUGAGCUGUGGUGUAGGUCACAGACACGGCUAGGAUCUGGCAUUGCUCUCAAGGCAACGCCGGAUCCUUAACCCACUGAGCAAGGCCGGAGAUCAAACCCUCAUCCUCAUGGAUAGUACUUGAGUUCAUUACCCCUGAGCCACAACAGGAACUCCAAUGACACUUUUUAAAAUGUGUUACCAUGACUUUUAGUGCGGUCCAAAAGCAUAUAUUCAGCAUAUACUUGCAAAGGAAGGAUGCUACAAAGCUACCUUACUGAGAAUGGAACUUGACGAUUUCUUUUUUCAUACCUGAUCUUGGUGCAGAGGUUUAUGUCACAAUAUUAUGCUGGAGUUUCUGCACAGUGAAAGAAAAUUACGAAGUCAUCGUCUUGGUCAUAGAGCUCCAGUGAGCACAAGCAAGUGACAGCCUAUCCAAUAAAACUAAUUAAACAUAUUUGACAUGAUUAUGAAAGCUGUUCCUUUUCUAACUAUGAGAUGCAAUAAAGCUUGACUUUUUGUUAAAUAGGUUUCAUACCAUAUGUAUGUGCUUCUUAAGAAAUCAAAAUAUUGACUUUUCCUCUUAGUGAUACCUAAGAAAAAUCAAUUUCUAUUAGAAUAUAUUCUAUAAUAGAAACAUGAACCAGCCAACAAUGUCUUUUAACUAAUUUUUAUAUAGAUCAUUUAAAAUUUUUCAUUGUAGGGUUUAAUGCAAGAUAAUAAACAAAUCAACUGUAUUUCUGAACUUAUUAUAAGGGUGAGUUUGUAAAACCAUCCUAAAAAAUUUCUAAACUUAGGAAUUAUCUAAACUGUUGUCUUUGGUAUAAACUGAUUCAUUUUCCUUGAUAAACACAUAAAAUAUGGUUAUAAUCUUUUAUAUACAUUUUAUACAAUUUUAUACAUUUUAUAUAUAUUGUCUCAUAGAAUUGUUUCAACCACCCAUUAAUUACAGCUUCCAAAGAAAACAAACUCUGUUCUUCCCAGGAUAGGUAUGAUGAAGAAGUAGAGAAGUGAGCAGGUCUGUCCUA
rnacentral:lncRNA from 9 species